UUAAGUAGUGCCAAGAAAGAACGCUGAACCUCAUCUAAGGCAACAGAAUGGCUUUGUAUUUUGGGAAAUCACCUCACUGUGAUGGUAGCCUCCUAAUAGACUUCCAGGAAGCCUGUCCUGGAGAGAAACCCACAGAAUGGCCCACUGACCAAAUGAAGAUGCACAUGACACAUGGUUUGUUGAAUCAAUUUGAAACAUACAGCAAGAAAAGGAAGUAAAUGGGGCAGAUUAAUAUACUACAAUAGGUUGCAAACAAGCAGUAAGGACCAUGCUACCAGGAUCUCGGGGAACACAGAUCCACAAUGUUAAUAUCCUUUCAUUAAUAUCAUCUCUGUGUGUGUGUGUCUGUGUCUUCCUGUCCCUCUCUCUCUUCCCCUCCCCUCUCCCUCCCUCCCUCCCUUUUCCUCUUUUUCCUAUCCCCUUUCUCUCUAUCACUCAGGCUUCCUUGCUGAUGGGGUAAGAGGUCCAAAGUUUAUGGUAUGCAGUAUUAGAGGAUGGCUGGAGCUCUUGGCCUACCAGAGAGGCACAAGGCAAAUGUGUUCUUUGUCAGAUGAGCUUGACACUUAGCCUACUGAGUGGUUAUGUAUUUUAUCUUUCUGUCUUUGCCAGAAAGACACGUGGGCCAGGUCCAGUGUCACCAAUAGGAGUCCUGUUUAAGAUAUCAUAAAUAUGGGUUCCCUGGGAGCUUUAUGACUACUUGAUGCUUAUGUAGUUUUUCUGUCCCUUCCUACUUACUUUACUGAUGUCUCCGAUGUCUCUCAGUUUACUUAUUUCCUCCUUGUUUCUCUUACUCUCUUUAGCAGAAUCAGAUAUUCAUAAAUAAUACAGCAAGCCUACACUGCAGUUUUCCUGAAGUAUGCAAGUACAUUAUUUCAGCAUAAUCCUAAAGGAUUAAUGGGGCAAACCAGAAAUGUCAGUCUGUGGACAGAUACAGUGCAGGGGAUGGAUGAGACAGGUGAUUAGAUUUAGGAGGAUCUCUCAUCAACCCACAAAACACCGAAUACUGGAGGGGCUCUGGGCAACCGAAGGACACUGGGACGUACGGGAGAGGCCGGACUGAGGGGCUGGGAGAAUUGUGAAGAAACAGAAGGUCGUGGUACUAGCGCCUUUGUGAGUCUUCCAAGUGGAAGCAAAGGUGGUGGUUCAAGGGCCUGUGCGAGCCUUGCCUGCCUGCUAUUCCGGGUGGCUGAAGACGUCCAGCUGUCAUUUGGAUUCAGUUCUGAUAGGUAGAACACAAAGAGGCAGUGAGGAAACUAGAGUGCGCUGGCCUUGUCUCAUCAUCCUGAUCUCUGUCAAGGUCUUAGAACCUUGACAUGGGUCCAUCAAAUAAAGGAACACUCUUCUAUUUACUAUCGGGUAUAAAUUAAGAGAAAACAAUAAUUCAUGAUCUUUUGGUUUUAACUCUAAUGGGUCUGUUUAUACGUAGUGUGUCCAAGACCAGAAAUAUUUCUGGGGAACAGGAGUGUAUAUAGUGACUGAGAAAACAGAAAUAUCCACUAAUGGUCAUAAGUAACCUUAAUGCAGCCUUAUUUUCAGUCAAGGUUUUGAGGAGAGAUCAUUGUUAAAAAAUACCCUAAAGAGAGACAAAGAUGUUAAUUCAGAAGCACGUCAGCAGGGCUGAGCUAUCUGAAGAGCAGACAUUACAAAUGAACUGUAUUUAACUUAUAUUUUAAUUGGGCCAUCCUCUGAAAUAGACUACACAGGCUGAUAGAAUAUUCAGGAAAAAUAAACUCUACUUCUAGAUUUAUGUAACAUUUACUCACUGUUAUUUUCAUUAUACUGAUUCUUAUAUGAAAAUUGGGCACCCAGAUAAUUUAUAGAAUCAUUAAAAUAUUUUACAGCAGUCCAUUUAACACAAAUCCUAAAUGAGAGAGGGAGAAUUUGAGGGCAAACUUUGGCAAGGCAGAACGACUGUCAGAUUUGAUAUGUGGGAACACCAGCAGCGAGGCUGUGAUCACACGUGCGCCGCAGCUCCUGUCAUUUCCCCGAGUUCACAGGUAAGGCAGAGAGUCGUACUGUUGGAGGAAUUCUGUGGAACGAAAGCAGACUGAAAAUAGGAACUUAAGUAAUUUCCCUAGAUUAAACUAGAUGAUCAUUUUACUCUAAUUAAAAAAAAAUUGUUUUAAAGCAUUACAAUUACAGAACUGGAGAAACUGCUUAGAAGAGUCACCUCAUUCAAGUCAUAGAUGACAAGAGUUAGGAAGCUGAAGAAGUUGCGCCUGUGCUGGAAGAGGAGGAAGUCUCACAGAGCCAGAAGUUAGAGUAACAAAGUCUCUGGGAGAAAGUACUAAGUGACGGAAGUGCCCAAUCUGAGGCUGCGACAAUCUUCCUAUUCCAUAUGGGAGGACAAGAAGGGGAGUUAGUUCUCAGCUAGCUGACAUGGCAGUCCUGUCCUUUGCUGAUUCCUCAGGAUGGCAUAAGCGUUUGAGGCGUGCUCCUCUGCUCAUGAUAUGAAGAUAUCACUCCGCCACAAGCGGGAGACAGAGGAAGAUUCACUUGACAACAGUACCGAGCAGCAGGAAUAAUGCCAACCCAGCAAUAUGCCAAGGUCUUUGGCAUGCACGGGCUUUUCUCUGGGGACAGAGAGACUGGUUAGGAGGCCACUGCUGUAAUGAAGGUGAGAGGUGAUUGUGACCUAAACCAGGGUGGUAGCAGUGGAGUUGGAAAGAGGUGAUCUAAUUCCGGGUAUAUUUCGAAGGUACAGGCAACCGGUUUUGCUAAAGAUAAUAUAUGAGGUAUAGGGGAGAGGGAUCCAGUGUGACUCGAAGGCUUUUUAUUUGAGCAAGAGAAACGAAGCAUUGGCAACUACGGAGAUGGAGAAGGCUGUGAUCGAACACAGUUCAGGGGAGCUAGAAAGUUCAAUUUCAGACAUGUUGGGUUGUCUGUUAGAAAUCCAAGUGGAAUUGUUGGGCAGGCAGUUGAACACGCAACUCUGGAGUUUGUGAGAGAGGUGUGGCUGGAGACAAAGUUUGAAGUAUGUCAGCAUAUCGAUAACCUUUUAAGCUAUGUAACUGUAGGAGAUUACCAUGGGAGGAAGGGUGUGAGGAAGAGAUGAGGAGGAAGCCAAAAAAAAAAAAGGUCAUCACUGCUAUGGAAGGAAAAAAAAAAUCAGAGAAGGUGUGUAGGGAUUAAUGGGGAAAUACUAUUUUAAGUAGGGUGAUAUUGUGAAAUUAGAGACCUUUCAUUUUCCCAAGAAGAAACCAGUAAUAAAUGGAUAAGAAGCAAUAAUCAAUAAUAAAAGACAUAAAACAAUUCUCUAGAGUAAAAAAAAAAGCUAAUGGGAUUCAUAGACUAGAAUGAUACACUGUAUUCCAGACAAAGUGGAUGAAAAUGGAAUCACACCUAUGAACAUUCUCAGGAAAAUGUUGGCUAUUGAAGAUAAAGAAACCACCCUACAAGCAUCCAGGUAGAGCACAUGGAUGGCUCAUAAAGGAAUGCGUAUCAGGCUACUUCGGUCUUUUUCAUAAGAACACCUGCCCAAAGAAUGCCAUCUAAGACGUUCCUCUUUCCAAGCAGAGUCACAUUUACACAUAAGAACAAGUGUGGAAGGACCCAGAAAAUACCAUUGCGUCCUCUUACAAACAACAAACAAAAGGUCAAGUAUAUUCUUAGGUUACUGUGAAAGACACAAGAACUGUGGUGAGCAAUGAUGAAAGGAAACACACACACAGGGAGGGGGGCGAAGAGAGAGAGACCACGAGAAGUCCAACUAUUCCUGGUACUGUGACCUGAGAGGAGUUUUUUCCUCCCACUUAAUUUUUUUGGAGAAGGAAGCACUGAGUGUCGGUAAAGGACAGUAUCUUUGAGCACAUCUGUAUAUUAAGUACAUAACAUAUUUCAUAUGGCUAUUCUUUUUAAAAAAUAAUGCCAUUUAGGUUAGAUUUAUGAUAUGGUGGCAAAAAGAAUUUACUGAAAGUAAACAUCCCAGAGGUUCAUUUCUUUUCAUGAGGUUUCAUUCUGUUACAGAUUUUUGAGUAUCUUGAACACGCACAUACUGGUGGCUCUCCUCACCAAAUGUUCUCUCCCUUAACUGAGAUGUUGAAAGUUGUUUGGAAGUGAUUUUGAGAUUUUGCUUCCUGAAAUCUAACAGUAAAAUGUGAUCAUUGAGGUUAACAGCGAAGUGACUAUUUUCUUGAGAAAACCAUUGUGCCCAACAAAAUCUUAAGUGGAAGACUUAUGCUUAAUGUGAAAGUUUUGUUACCCGUGGUUAGAUGCAAAGGUAUAACAACGAACAGUUAUUCUCUUCUACCACUUAGUGCUAUUGGCCUAAAUCUGUCUCAUCAAAGAGAAAGUCACAGUAGACACACUAACUAAAACUAUGGUAGAUGUAUUAUAAUUUUUAAAAUUUAAAAUAAGUUAUAUUAAACUGUUUUUUAAAAAUUUUUGUUUCACUCAAAUGUAUACUGCUCAUACUGUCAUAAAUGAAAAUAACUUUGA